UUCUUAUCGAGAGCGGCGGAGGGACUGGCCCGAUGAAGCCCGGCAACCUUCCCGGCGCGGGGAGCCGAGAGGCCUCCUCGCCUGCGGGCGCACGGUGUGCCCCGGGAAAGGUGCCAACUCCUGCGGCCGCACCGGCGGCCGAAAGAUAAGAA
rnacentral:ncRNA from 2 species